rnacentral:rRNA from 1 species
GAUGAACGCUGGCGGCGUGCCUAAUACAUGCAAGUCGAGCGAACAGACGAGGAGCUUGCUCCUCUGACGUUAGCGGCGGACGGGUGAGUAACACGUGGAUAACCUACCUAUAAGACUGGGAUAACUUCGGGAAACCGGAGCUAAUACCGGAUAAUAUAUUGAACCGCAUGGUUCAAUAGUGAAAGACGGUUUUGCUGUCACUUAUAGAUGGAUCCGCGCCGCAUUAGCUAGUUGGUAAGGUAACGGCUUACCAAGGCAACGAUGCGUAGCCGACCUGAGAGGGUGAUCGGCCACACUGGAACUGAGACACGGUCCAGACUCCUACGGGAGGCAGCAGUAGGUAAUCUUCCGCAAUGGGCGAAAGCUUGACGGAGCAACGCCGCGUGAGUGAUGAAGGUCUUCGGAUCGUAAAACUCUGUUAUUAGGGAAGAACAAAUGUGUAAGUAACUAUGCACGUCUUGACGGUACCUAAUCAGAAAGCCACGGCUAACUACGUG